rnacentral:lncRNA from 1 species
UUUGGGAGUGAAGGACUUGGGCACUUUGUGUGCCCUUGCCAUUGCAUUUGGUGCAUAGGUUUGAGUUCUCCACGGUGAUAGUGGAAGUGAAGUUUGAGAAGCUUAUUACCCCUUUGGUACUCGGUAUCCUAGAGAUUGUUCUUUAUGGAUGCUUUGGCGUCCUAGAAGCUUGGUGGUGCCUCGGAGCUUAAUCAUUGUGGUGUAAAGCUCCGGGCAAGCAUCGGGGUCUCUAAUUAAGUUGUGGAGAUUGCCUCGAGCAUUUGUGGUCACCUCGAAGCCAUAUUCCAUUGUGGUGAAGCUUCGUGGUGGUGUUGGGAGCCUCCAGUUAAGUUGUGGAGAUUGCCCCAACCUUGUUUGUACGG